GUAGGGCGCAAGCGUUGUCCGGAAUUAUUGGGCGUAAAGAGCUCGUAGGUGGCUGGUCACGUCUGCCGUGAAAGCCCGCAGCUUAACUGCGGGUCUGCGGUGGAUACGGGCCGGCUAGUGGUAGGUAGGGGCAAGUGGAAUUCCUGGUGUAGCGGUGAAAUGCGCAGAUAUCAGGAGGAACACCGGUGGCGAAGGCGGCUUGCUGGGCCUUACCUGACGCUGAGGAGCGAAAGCGUGGGGAGCGAACAGGAUUAGAUACCCUGGUAGUCCACGCUGUAAACGUUGGGCGCUAGGUGUGGGGAUCUUCCACGAUCUCCGUGCCGGAGCUAACGCAUUAAGCGCCCCGCCUGGGGAGUACGGCCGCAAGGCUA
rnacentral:rRNA from 1 species